UACAGAGGGUGCGAGCGUUGUCCGGAAUCACUGGGCGUAAAGGGCGCGUAGGUGGUGGCUUAAGCGUGCGGUGAAAGCUCGGAGCUCAACUCCGAGUCGGCCGUGCGAACUGGGCUCACUGGAGCAUAGUAGAGGCAGGUGGAAUUCCGGGUGUAGCGGUGGAAUGCGUAGAGAUCCGGAAGAACACCAGUGGCGAAGGCGGCCUGCUGGGCUAUGGCUGACACUGAGGCGCGACAGCGUGGGGAGCAAACAGG
rnacentral:rRNA from 1 species